rnacentral:rRNA from 1 species
AGGAUGACGUAUGAGUUUGAUCCUGGCUCAGUAAGUCGUAACAAGGUAGCCGUAUGAGUUUUAUCCUGGCUCAGUAAGUCGUGACAAGGUAGCCGCAUGAUGUUGGGGGAUAACUACUGGAAACGGUAGCUAAUACCGCAUAACGUCGCAAGACCAAAGAGGGGGACCUUCGGGCCUCUUGCCAUCGGAUGUGCCCAGAUGGGAUUAGCUAGUAGGGGGGGUAACGGCUCACCUAGGCGACGAUCCCUAGCUGGUCUGAGAGGAUGACCAGCCACACUGGAACUGAGACACGGUCCAGACUCCUACGGGAGGCAGCAGUGGGGAAUAUUGCACAAUGGGCGCAAGCCUGAUGCAGCCAUGCCGCGUGUAUGAAGAAGGCCUUCGGGUUGUAAAGUACUUUCAGCGGGGAGGAAGGGAGUAAAGUUAAUACCUUUGCUCAUUGACGUUACCCGCAGAAGAAGCACCGGCUAACUCCGUGCCAGCAGCCGCGGUAAUACGGAGGGUGCAAGCGUUAAUCGGAAUUACUGGGCGUAAAGCGCACGCAGGCGGUUUGUUAAGUCAGAUGUGAAAUCCCCGGGCUCAACCUGGGAACUGCAUCUGAUACUGGCAAGCUUGAGUCUCGUAUAGGGGGGUAGAAUUCCAGGUGUAGCGGUGAAAUGCGUAGAGAUCUGGAGGAAUACCGGUGGCGAAGGCGGCCCCCUGGACGAACACUGACGCUCAGGUGCGAAAGCGUGGGGAGCAAACAGGAUUACAUACCCUGGUAGUCCACGCCGUAAACGAUGUCGACUUGUAGGUUGUGCCCUUGAGGCGUGGCUUCCGGAGCUAACGCGUUAAGUCGACCGCCUGCGGAGUACGGCCGCAAGGUUAAAACUCAAAUGUAUUGACGGGGGCCCACACAACCGUGGGAGCAUGUUGGUUUAAUUUCAAUGCCACGCAAAGAACCUUACCUGGGCUUGACCUCCACGGAAUUUUCAAAGAUAAAGAAGGUGCCUUCCGGAACCGGAAAAACAGGUACUGCAGGGCUUUUAUCCUCUCCCCCUCCCCCAAGGUGGAAUUAUUUCCCCACACGAGGGCAUCCCUAUUCCUUGGUGGCGGGGGACCGGCCGGGAACUCACAAGAAAAUAACAUUCUCA